rnacentral:lncRNA from 1 species
GGGUCUUGGGAUCAUCUCAUUCUCACCUGGCCCUUUCAAGUCAUUCUAGGAAACUGAGGCUCAGAGAGGGAAGGGGGCUGGUCCAAGAUCACAUGCUACUGGCGCAUUUAGAUGCUCUCUGCCAUUGGUUAGUCUGUAUCGGUUUCUCCCGUGGGACCGUCCUAGGUUAGAGGAUAAAAUGGCUUAUUCCUCGUAAGGGCAGGUAGCAUAUUCUGGGUUUUUCCCAUAAAUAGGUCAGAUUUUCUUUUUGACAUUGAAAUUUGGGGCACCUGUCCAGAAAUGUGAGAUUUUAAAGUUGGGGUAGGGAGGUACCACUCACGCAGUUAGCCUGCAUUUGUAGUGAACUUGAGCAGGUAAGAGGAAAGUAGGAGGAACCUUUUAGCACACUUUUUUUCCCCCUAAGAUACACCGUGAGGGCGUUCUCUUGUAGCUCAGCCAGUUAAGGAUCUGAUGUUGUCACUGCAGCAGCUUGGGUCACUGCUGUGGUGUGGGUUCAGUCCCUGGUGUGGGAGCGUCUACAUGCUGUUGAUGCAGCCAAGAAAAAAAAAAAACACCGUGAUUUUCCUUCACUUUUGUGCAUUCAGAUGAAGCAAAGCCUGUUCAUUGCCCAGGCUCUCUGGCAGCCUGAAGAAACUUGUAGGAUUGGCUUUUCGGGGUAACUGAGACGUCAGCUACGUUAGGUAAAUUCUUUCAGUUCUUGAUGUUAAAGACUCAGUUGCUGGGAUUUCCCUGAUGGCCUAAUGGCUACGGAUCCAGCAUCAUCACUGCUGUGGCUCCGGCCUCUGCUUUGGAAAGAGUUCAGUCUCUGGCCUGGGAAUUUUUGCAUGCCAUAGACAUGGCCAAAACAAUAAAAAAAGACUUGGUUAUUUUAUAAUCAUUUCCUUUUCUUCAUUGACUAACAGGCCGAGAUAUAGAAAGGUAAAAAAGCUGAAUUAAGAGUAAAUAAUUUCCAGAGUUCCUGUUGUGGUACAGUAGAAAGGAAUCCGGCUAGGAACCAUGAGGUUGCGGGUUCAAUCCCUGGCCUCUCUCAGUGGGUUAAGGAUCUGGCAUUGUUGUGAGCUUUGGUGUAUGUUACAGAUGUGACUCGGAUCCCAUGUUGCUGUGGCUGUGGUGUAGGCCGGUGGCUCCAGCUCCGAUUCAACCCCUAGCCUGGGAACCUCCAUAUGUCGUGGAUGUGGCUCUGAAAAGAAAAAAAAAAAA